UGGUGGAGUGAUUUGUCUGGUUAAUUCCGUUAACGAACGAGACCUCAGCCUGCUAACUGGUUACACGAAGGAUCCUCUUCGUGGCCAACUUCUUAGAGGGACUAUGGCCGUCUAGGCCAUGGAAGUUUGAGGCAAUAACA
rnacentral:rRNA from 1 species